GAUUAACGCUAGCGGCAGGCAUAAUACAUGCAAGUUGAACGGCAGCACAGGUAGCAAUACUGGGUGGCGAGUGGCGCACGGGUGCGUAACACGUAUGCAACCUACCCUAUACAGGCGAAUAACCUUUAGAAAUGAGGGCUAAUACGCCGUAGUAUUACAGAUGGGCAUCUAUUUGUAAUUAAAGAUUUCUCGGUAUAGGAUGGGCAUGCGUCCCAUUAGUUAGUUGGUAAGGUAACGGCUUACCAAGACGAUGAUGGGUAGGGGAUCUGAGAGGACUUACCCCCACACUGGUACUGAGACACGGACCAGACUCCUACGGGAGGCAGCAGUAAGGAAUAUUGGGCAAUGGCCGCGAGGCUGACCCAGCCAUGCCGCGUGAAGGAAGACGGCCUUAUGGGUUGUAAACUGCUUUUAUACGGGAAUAAUAGAGUGUACGCGUACAUUUAUGCAAGUAUCGUAUGAAUAAGCAUCGGCUAACUCCGUG
rnacentral:rRNA from 1 species